CCGCCUGGAUGGCCCAGAUGGCCCCACUAUAAAGCUGAAGUCUGGAUCGAUUAGCCAGAGUGUUCACCGUUAAACCAAGACCACAGAAUAAAGAUGAGAGCUUUGAUAUUGCUGUGUAUGGCGGGUAUUAUUUUAGCACAACCAAAAGGAAGUGGGCGUGUGGAACGCCAGGUGAGGUCAAAAGUUGACAAAUCACGUCAACCAACAGGAGACGUGUGGAAAGACUAUACUGGUUUUGAGUUCUACGGGUCAAAGAAAAAGAAUUCCACCCCAACAAUGGUUGUUCCUAAUGAUUCCAACCCAACAAUGAUUGUUCCUAAUGAUUCCAACCCAACA